GAUGAACGCUAGCUACAGGCUUAACACAUGCAAGUCGAGGGGCAGCAUGAACUUAGCUUGCUAAGUUUGAUGGCGACCGGCGCACGGGUGAGUAACACGUAUCCAACCUGCCGAUGACUCGGGGAUAGCCUUUCGAAAGAAAGAUUAAUACCCGAUGGCAUAGUUCUUCCGCAUGGUAGAACUAUUAAAGAAUUUCGGUCAUCGAUGGGGAUGCGUUCCAUUAGGUUGUUGGCGGGGUAACGGCCCACCAAGCCUUCGAUGGAUAGGGGUUCUGAGAGGAAGGUCCCCCCACAUUGGAACUGAGACACGGUCCAAAACUCCUACGGGAGGCAGCAGUGAGGAAUAUUGGUCAAUGGGCGAGAGCCUGAACCAGCCAAGUAGCGUGAAGGAUGAAGGUCCUACGGAUUGUAAACUUCUUUUAUACGGGAAUAAAGUUUCCUACGUGUAGGAUUUUGUAUGUACCGUAUGAAUAAGCAUCGGCUAACUCCGUG
rnacentral:rRNA from 1 species